rnacentral:rRNA from 1 species
CUCAGAUUGAACGCUGGCGGCAUGCUUUACACAUGCAAGUCGAACGGCAGCGCGGGGCAACCUGGCGGCGAGUGGCGAACGGGUGAGUAAUAUAUCGGAACGUACCCAAGAGUGGGGGAUAACGUAGCGAAAGUUACGCUAAUACCGCAUACGAUCUAAGGAUGAAAGUGGGGGAUCUUCGGACCUCAUGCUCCUGGAGCGGCCGAUAUCUGAUUAGCUAGUUGGUGAGGUAAAGGCUCACCAAGGCGACGAUCAGUAGCUGGUCUGAGAGGACGACCAGCCACACUGGGACUGAGACACGGCCCAGACUCCUACGGGAGGCAGCAGUGGGGAAUUUUGGACAAUGGGCGCAAGCCUGAUCCAGCAAUGCCGCGUGAGUGAAGAAGGCCUUCGGGUUGUAAAGCUCUUUUGUCAGGGAAGAAACGGCUCAGGCUAAUAUCCUGGGCUAAUGACGGUACCGAAG